AGCCACUCUUAGACUGUCCAGUUUGGCCAAUGAAGCACCAGCCAAUUUCCUAGCUCCCCAGCCUUGCACCCCUACUGGAGUAUACCAGAAUUAUAGAAUCUUGCACUGCACAGGGUUCUGUACGGUGCAAGCUCAUUAAAUCAGUU